GAUGAACGCUAGCGAUAGGCCUAACACAUGCAAGUCGAGGGGCAGCACAUGAGUAGCAAUACGAUGGUGGCGACCGGCGCACGGGUGAGUAACACGUAUGCAACCUACCUUUAACAGGGGAAUAACCCGUUGAAAAACGGACUAAUACUCCAUAACACAGGGGUCCCGCAUGGGAAUAUUUGUUAAAGCUUUAUCGGUUGAAGAUGGGCAUGCGUUCCAUUAGCUUGUUGGUGAGGUAACGGCUCACCAAGGCCACGAUGGAUAGGGGAACUGAGAGGUUUAUCCCCCACACUGGAACUGAGACACGGUCCAGACUCCUACGGGAGGCAGCAGUGAGGAAUAUUGGUCAAUGGAGGCAACUCUGAACCAGCCAAGUCGCGUGAAGGAUGAAGGUCUUAUGGAUUGUAAACUUCUUUUGCAAGGGAAUAAAGUGGGGGACGUGUCCUCCUUUGCAUGUACCUUGCGAAUAAGGAUCGGCUAACUCCGUGCCAGCAGCCGCCGCAG
rnacentral:rRNA from 1 species